rnacentral:rRNA from 1 species
CCUACGGGUGGCAGCAGUGAGGAAUAUUGGUCAAUGGACGAGAGUCUGAACCAGCCAAGUAGCGUGAAGGAUGACUGCCCUAUGGGUUGUAAACUUCUUUUAUAAAGGAAUAAAACGAGGCACGUGUGCCUUUUUGCAUGUACUUUAUGAAUAAGGAUCGGCUAACUCCGUGCCAGCAGCCGCGGUAAUACGGAGGAUCCGAGCGUUAUCCGGAUUUAUUGGGGUUAAAGGGAGCGUAGAUGGGUUGUUAAGUCAGUUGUGAAAGUUUGCGGCUCAACCGUAAAAUUGCAAUUGAUACUGGCAGUCGUGAGUACAGUUGAGGUAGGCGGAAUUCGUGGUGUAGCGGUGAAAUGCUUAGAUAUCACGAAGAACCCCGAUUGCGAAGGCAGCUUACUAAACUGUGACUGACAUUGAUGCUCGAAAGUGUGGGUAUCAAACAGGAUUAGAUACCCUUGUAGUC